UCGCCAAGGGAGCGGCACUAUUAGAAGCUGUGGCCUUGUUGAGGAAGUGUGUCACUGUAGGGGUGGGCUUGGAGACUCUCCUCCUAGCUGCCUGGGGAUGCUCAUUCUGUUCCCAACUUCCUUCAGGUGAAGAUGUAGAACUCAGCUCCUCCUGCACCAUGCCUGCCUGGAUGCUGCCAUGCUCCUGCCUUUGACGAUAAUGGACUGAACCUGUGAACCUGUGAAGAUGUAGAACUCAGCUCCUCCUGCACCAUUCCUGCCUGGAUGCCGCCAUGCUCCUGCCUUGAUGAUAAUGGACUGAGCCUGUGAACCUAGCUGGGGACCGAACCCAAGGCCUUGCGCUUCCUAGGAGGAUGCUUCUGGGAUGAUAUAAGUGCAAGAAAUGGAUCUCUAUCAUCUUUGUAGCAGAAGACUUGUUUUCACACAACUAAAGACAUGUUUUGCCCGGCCCGCAGCAGCUCUCUGCUCCCAGACCCCGUGGGAAAGAGACCUCACCGCCUGGUCAGGUGGGCACUCCUGAGGCUGCAGAGCGGAAGAGACCACCAACACUGCCCACCCCUGCCCACAUCCCUGGCCCAAGAGGAAACUGUAUAAGGCCUCUGGGCUCCUGUGGGGGAGGGCCCAGGAGCGGCAGGACCCCUGCCUGAGACACCGCCGGAACCUGAAGGAAACAGACCGGAUAAACAGUUCUCUGCACCCAAAUCCCGUGGGAGGGAGAGCUAAACCUUC